AGCGAACGCUGGCGGCAGGCCUAACACAUGCAAGUCGAACGAACUCUUCGGAGUUAGUGGCGGACGGGUGAGUAACACGUGGGAACGUGCCUUUAGGUUCGGAAUAACUCAGGGAAACUUGAGCUAAUACCGGAUGUGCCCUUCGGGGGAAAGAUUUAUCGCCUUUAGAGCGGCCCGCGUCUGGUUAGCUAGUUGGUGAGGUAAAGGCUCACCAAGGCGACGAUCAGUAGCUGGUCUGAGAGGAUGAUCAGCCACAUUGGGACUGAGACACGGCCCAAACUCCUACGGGAGGCAGCAGUGGGGAAUCUUGCGCAAUGGGCGAAAGCCUGACGCAGCCAUGCCGCGUGAAUGAUGAAGGUCUUAGGAUUGUAAAAUUCUUUCACCGGGGACGAUAAUGACGGUACCCGGAGAAGAAGCCCCGGCUAACUUCGUG
rnacentral:rRNA from 1 species